GAUUAAGUGUUCCGCCCUGGGGAGUACGGUCGCAAGAUUAAAACUCAAAGAAUUAGACGGGGACCCGCACAAUGGUUGGAGCAUGUUGUUUAAUUCGAAGAUUCGCGAAGAACCUUACCUAGCCUUGACAUUGAUAGAACACCGUAGAGAUACAGUGGUGCCCCUCGGGGAACUUGAAAACAGGUGCUGCACGGCUGUCGUCAGCUCGUGUCGUGAGAUGUUGGGUUAAGUCCCGCAACGAGCGCAACCCUCGUCCUUAGUUGCCAGCAGGUUAAGCUGGGCACUCUAGGGAGACUGCCUUCGCAAGGAGGAGGAAGGUGAGGACGACGUCAAGUCAUCAUGGCCCUUAUGGCUAGGGCUACACACGUGCUACAAUGGGGCGUACAGAGAGUUGCGAUACCGCGAGGUGGAGCCAAUCUCAUAAAGCGUCUCUCAGUUCGGAUUGGAGUCUGCAACUCGACUCCAUGAAGCUGGAAUCACUAGUAAUCGUAGAUCAGCAAUGCUACGGUGAAUACGUUCCCGGGUCUUGUACUCACCGCCCGUCACACCAUGGGAGUAGAUUCACCCGAAAUU
rnacentral:rRNA from 1 species